rnacentral:rRNA from 1 species
GACGAACGCUGGCGGCGUGCUUAACACAUGCAAGUCGAACGGAAAGGCCCUGCUUUUGUGGGGUGCUCGAGUGGCGAACGGGUGAGUAACACGUGAGUAACCUGCCCUUGACUUUGGGAUAACUUCAGGAAACUGGGGCUAAUACCGGAUAGGAGCUCCUGCUGCAUGGUGGGGGUUGGAAAGUUUCGGCGGUUGGGGCUGGACUCGCGGCUUAUCAGCUUGUUGGUGGGGUAGUGGCUUACCAAGGCUUUGACGGGUAGCCGGCCUGAGAGGGUGACCGGCCACAUGGGGACUGAGAUACGGCCCAGACGCCUACGGGAGGCAGCAGUGGGGAAUAUUGCACAAUGGGCGGAAGCCUGAUGCAGCAACGCCGCGUGCGGGAUGACGGCCUUCGGGUUGUAAACCGCUUUCGCCUGUGACGAAGCGUGAGUGACGGUAAUGGGUAAAGAAGCACCGGCUAACUACGUG